GUCCGUAUCGAUUAGUGGUCAAAUCAUCUCGUUGUGGUAGGAUUCUUGGUCAAGAUAUGCGCUCCGAGAAGCCCCAGGCUCGAAUCCUGCUACGGACA